rnacentral:lncRNA from 1 species
CUAACUCAAGAAUCGCGAUUUCAAAGAUCAUGGAGUCUUCUUGGUUCAAAAAGUCUGCUCCCAAGGUUGUGAUAACUAAGCAAGAGAUGGAAUUUGAAGCUGACAAGUCAUCAAAGCAACCUGAGACUCUAAAUGCGUUUCAUAUCAUCUCUUUGUCGGAAGGGUUUGAUUUGUCACCUUUGUUUGAGGAGAAAAAGAGAGCGGAAAAAGAGGAGCUGAGAUUUGCAACCACGAGGCCUGCAAGCAGUGUGAUCUCAAGAUUUGAAGAGGUGGCCAAGGCCGUUAAGUUUAAUGUCAAAACGAG